UUAAAAACAUGUCUUUUUGAUUAUAAUUUAAGGUUUAAUCUGCUCAAUGAUUAUUUAAAUUGCCGCAGUAUUUUGACUGUGCAAAGGUAGCAUAAUAAUUAGUUUCUUUAUUGGGAACUGGAAUGAAUGAUUGGACGAGAAAAUUUCUGUCUCUUUAUUAUUUUAAUUGAAUUUUACUUUUAAGUUAAAAGGCUUAAAUUUUAUUAGAGGACGAGAAGACCCUAUAGAGUUUAAUUUUUAUUUAAAUAAUUAUUUUUAGUAUUUAUAUAUAUUAUUUAAAUAAAAAUUUAGUUGGGGUGACUAAAAGAUAAGAAUAACUCUUUUAAUUUUUAUCAAUUAUUUUUGAUUAUAAAAUCUUUAUUUUUAAUUUUAAAAUAAAUUACCUUAGGGAUAACAGCGUAAUUCUUUUUUAAAGUUCUUAUUAAAAGAAGAGUUUGCGACCUCGAUGUUGGAUUAAAAUUAAUUUUAGGUGUAGAAGCUUGAAAAUUAAGUCUGUUCGACUUUUAAAAUUUUACAUGAUCUGAGUUUAAACCGGUGUGAGCCAGGUUGGUUUCUAUCCUUAAUUAUAUAUUAUACUUUA
rnacentral:rRNA from 1 species